UGGAUCCAGACUUUGAUCCUGGGCUCAGGAUGAACGCUAGCUACAGGCUUAACACAUGCAAGUCGAGGGGCAGCAUAUCGGUAGCUUGCUACUGGUGAUGGCGACCGGCGCACGGGUGAGUAACGCGUAUCCAACCUUCCCAUGACUGGGGAAUAACCUUGCGAAAGUAAGACUAAUACCCCAUGGUUUCCGAGGCGGACAUCCAAUUUGGAAUAAAGAUUCAUCGGUCAUGGAUGGGGAUGCGUCUGAUUAGCUUGUUGGCGGGGUAACGGCCCACCAAGGCGACGAUCAGUAGGGGUUCUGAGAGGAAGGUCCCCCACAUUGGAACUGAGACACGGUCCAAACUCCUACGGGAGGCAGCAGUGAGGAAUAUUGGUCAAUGGACGAGAGUCUGAACCAGCCAAGUAGCGUGCAGGAUGACGGCCCUAUGGGUUGUAAACUGCUUUUAUACGGGAAUAAAGUCAAUCACGUGUGGUUGUUUGUAUGUACCGUAUGAAUAAGGACCGGCUAAUUCCGUGCCAGCAGCCGUGGUAAUACGGAAGGUCCGGGCGUUAUCCGGAUUUAUUGGGUUUAAAGGGAGCGUAGGCCGCCGAUUAAGCGUGUUGUGAAAUGCCGCAGCUCAACUGUGGCACUGCAGCGCGAACUGGUUGGCUUGAGUGCGCGGAAGGCAGGCGGAAUUUGUGGUGUAGCGGUGAAAUGCUUAGAUAUCACGAAGAACCCCGAUUGCGAAGGCAGCUUGCCGCAGCGUAACUGACGCUGAAGCUCGAAAGCGCGGGUAUCGAACAGGAUUAGAUACCCUGGUAGUCCGCACGGUAAACGAUGGAUGCCCGCUGUUCCGGCUAUAUGUUGGAGUGGCCAAGCGAAAGCGUUAAGCAUCCCACCUGGGGAGUACGCCGGCAACGGUGCAACUCAAAUGAAUUGACGGA
rnacentral:rRNA from 1 species